CUCCAAGAAGAUACAGGCACAGCGACAAGAUUCUACCUGGAUUGUGGUAUGAUAACCACUGAGUAACACUGCUCCAUUGCCUUUCUGCUGCCAGGGCUUGGCCUACACCAUGGACGAACAGCGGACACCCAGAGAGCUAAAUGUCUCCUACCGGCUAAGACAAGGAAACCCACUCAGAUCGACCUCUCGUGGAUCAAACAGACUCUAUCCAGGUAAGUACACCUGCCAAUCACUAAGUUCCUGUAGGAGGCUGUAGCCUCCCCUUUAGGCUGCCCGAGCUGCACCUUAAAGAUGGCGCCUGCCAGAUGCAGAGCUGGUGGUGUAAACAAGUCCAUAUUCGGUGGAGACGUGCCCCUGCCGCCCUGAUUGGCUGAAGCCAUGUACCUGGUGAGGUGACGUGGCCUGCCGUGAGUGGAUGGGGGCUGAGAGUAUAUAAGAGUGAGAGGCCCGGGGUUCGAG
rnacentral:lncRNA from 1 species